UACGUAGGGGGCUAGCGUUGUCCGGAAUCAUUGGGCGUAAAGAGCGUGUAGGCGGCCCGGUAAGUCCGCUGUGAAAGUCGGGGGCUCAACCCUCGAAUGCCGGUGGAUACUGUCGGGCUAGAGUGCGGAAGAGGCGAGUGGAAUUCCUGGUGUAGCGGUGAAAUGCGCAGAUAUCAGGAGGAACACCGAUGGCGAAGGCAGCCUUCUGGGCCAACACUGACGCUCAUGCACGAAAGCGUGGGAGCAACAGG
rnacentral:rRNA from 1 species